UAAUGAUGAUGAUGGUGAUGAUGAUGGCGGUGGUGGUGGUGGUGAUGGAGGUGGCGACGGCGUCGUAGAACGACAAGAGAGCGAAGAAUCGAAAAUAAUUUUGUUUGUUUGUUUGUUUGUUUGUUUGUUGGGUUGCAUUUGUCUCGUCACAGACGUCAUCAUCAUAAUCAUCAUCAUCAUCAUCAUCAUCACCG
rnacentral:pre_miRNA from 1 species